rnacentral:ncRNA from 1 species
UUCUUCAGGGCAGGGUGAAAUUCCCGACCGGUGGUAAAGUCCACGAGCCGCAAUGCGGUUGACUUGGUGAAACUCCAAGACCGACAGUAAAGUCUGGAUGGAAGAAGAG